AGCGUUAAUCGGAAUUACUGGGCGUAAAGCGCACGCAGGCGGUCUGUCAAGUCGGAUGUGAAAUCCCCGGGCUCAACCUGGGAACUGCAUUCGAAACUGGCAGGCUAGAGUCUUGUAGAGGGGGGUAGAAUUCCAGGUGUAGCGGUGAAAUGCGUAGAGAUCUGGAGGAAUACCGGUGGCGAAGGCGGCCCCCUGGACAAAGACUGACGCUCAGGUGCGAAAGCGUGGGGAGCAAACAGGAUUAGAUACCCUGGUAGUCCACGCCGUAAACGAUGUCGAUUUGGAGGUUGUGCCCUUGAGGCGUGGCUUCCGGAGCUAACGCGUUAAAUCGACCGCCUGGGGAGUACGGCCGCAAGGUUAAAACUCAAAUGAAUUGACGGGGGCCCGCACAAGCGGUGGAGCAUGUGGUUUAAUUCGAUGCAACGCGAAGAACCUUACCUGGUCUUGACAUCCACAGAACUUUCCAGAGAUGGAUUGGUGCCUUCGGGAACUGUGAGACAGGUGCUGCAUGGCUGUCGUCAGCUCGUGUUGUGAAAUGUUGGGUUAAGUCCCGCAACGAGCGCAACCCUUAUCCUUUGUUGCCAGCGGUUAGGCCGGGAACUCAAAGGAGACUGCCAGUGAUAAACUGGAGGAAGGUGGGGAUGACGUCAAGUCAUCAUGGCCCUUACGACCAGGGCUACACACGUGCUACAAUGGCAUAUACAAAGAGAAGCGACCUCGCGAGAGCAAGCGGACCUCAUAAAGUAUGUCGUAGUCCGGAUUGGAGUCUGCAACUCGACUCCAUGAAGUCGGAAUCGCUAGUAAUCGUAGAUCAGAAUGCUACGGUGAAUACGUUCCCGGGCCUUGUACACACCGCCCGUCACACCAUGGGAGUGGGUUGCAAAAGAAGUAGGUAGCUUAACCUUCGGGAGGGCGCUUACCACUUUGUGAUUCAUGACUGGGGUGAAGUCGUAACAAGGUAACCGUAGGGGAACCUGCGGUUG
rnacentral:rRNA from 1 species